UGAGGCCCUGAGGAGCUUAGCAGAGACAUCUUUCUUUUCUUUAAGAGAACAUUUAAAAAUUUUUUUAUUUGUACACAUUUAUGGGCUACAUGAGAAACUUUGUUACAUGUUUAUAAUGCAUAGUGAUCAAGUCAGGGCAUUUAGGGUUUCUCACUGUACCCCAGGGCAGCCCCAGGGCUCUCCUUGGGCUUCUGGCAGCCUGAGUGGUGUCUCAUCACAGGGAAUUUUACUGAGCAAAGGCAGCUUGGCGUAUACUGAGGGUGUACAGUCCAGGACCCACAGCAUUGAUCUCACCUGGGAACUUAUUAGAAAUCCAGAUUCUCAGGCCAACCCUAGGCCCACUGAAUUAGAAAGUCUGGGAGAAAGGCCUGGAAUUUGGGUUUUAACAAACGCUGCAGGUGAUUCUGAUGCACGCUGGAGAACCACUGGAUGGACAAAGGCUGCAGGACUUGAGGUCAGUCCAUUUGACCCCCAAUCUCUCACUAUUUUGUGACCUUGGGAAGGUUACUAAGCCCCGUGAACCUCAUCAUCUCCCUGUGAAUUGCUUUGUUACGAUGUCCAUGUCUGGAAUGCAGCUGGCCCUCCAUAAAUGUUAGCUCUCUUUCCUUCUCACUUGGGUUAAUGUUUGUUAUCAUCAGGAGCUGCCUUGGUGUAGCAGAAAGAGCAUUGGCCUAGAUUCCAGUGUUGGCUUAUGCUCUGGCUAUUUGGCAGGAUUUAAUAGAGCUUGUUAAUAAUUAUUGAACAGUGAUUAGGUGCCAGGGACUAUGCUAAGAGCUUUCCAUGCAUUAUCUCAUUUAAUCUGCCCAAAAACUACAAGAGAAAUGUUCAGGUAUUAUCUCUAUUUUAUUCCAGAAAAAAACAGACUUUACUUGGGUAAUUAACUUGUCUAAGGCUUAACAGCUAAAUUGGUAGAGUUGGGCUUGAAACUAGUGGUCUGGCUUUGGAGCCCACACUGUUUAACCACUAAGUGGUACUCAACAUUUCUGAUCUUUACUAUCCAUAUUCAAAAAAGAAUCCACCAUAAAAGGUGCUAAUAUUUAUUCAGCACCUUCCUACGUGCUAGGCAUUGGGUUAGACACAUUUCACUUACUCUCAGUGUCCAUCAUAAGGAAUUAUUAUGCCAGUAUCACACAUGCAGCUGCUGAAGUAGGAAAAUAAUAUCCCAAACUUGUGAAAAUGGACAAAGAUAGUAUAUCCUAAAUGAUAUGGCUCUAUACAAAUUAGCAGGUGAUUGUGAUCUGGAUAGUAAGAUGCUUUGUCCCUUAAGAUGCAGAAGAGUUCGUGUUAACUGGCAAAUGCCUCCAGCAAUGUUCUGGAUUUGCCAUUUCCAGCACUACCAGCUGUAGGUAGCCUGAAGGCUUGUGCCUAGACCACCAGGACUCCUGACCUUGGGCAAUGUCAGGGCCCCCUCCAGCCCCGCCCUAUGCUUCCCUCCCUGACUCUGCUCCCAUCACCCCCUGCCUGCUCCUUCCCUGCAGCCACUCCACCUGCUCCUUGGCCAUCGGGCCAUCUGGGCUUCACCAGCUCUUCUUGGCCUGUGACAUUCAAGGCUGUUCCACCCUAUUAUGCCUGUUACACAAGUCACAGCUCUAUUUUUAGAUUAACCCUCGUGGAUCAUAGUUACUUUUAAAAAUACCUACACCCUCACCUUUACAUGUGAAUACAGAUGAACUUGGCCUUCCUUUGGUCGUAUUGCCCUGUGUGACAUUAUAAAAGAACCCUGAAGUGGGGGUCAGCAGAUCUGAGGUCGAGUCGUGGCUUUUCUACUAAGCAACUGUGACCUUCAGCAAGUCAUUUAUUUUAUUGGUUCACAGUUCUUCCCACAAACCAGUGGAUAACAAGAAGAUGUUCCUUAAAUAAGGUCAUAUAUGUGCAAGUGCUUUCUGAAUGGAAAAGUGCUUUGCAGGCAUUAGUCACUACUUAUCCUGCUGUCUGAUCAUCACCUCCAAAGGCAAGCCUCCUUUUGCUGCAAUUCUUAACCCUGGCCUCACAUUAGAGUCACCUAAAGAGCUUUUAAAAACUGCCUAUGGGGCUGGGCACGGUGGCUCACGCCUGUAAUCCCAGCACUUCAGGAGACUGAGGCGGGCAGAUCAUGAGGUCAGGAGAUUGAGACUAUCCUGGCUAAUGUGGUAAAACCCUGUCUCUACUAAAAAUACAAAAAAAUUAGCCGGGCAUGGUGGCACGCACCUGUAAUCCCAGCUACUUGGGAGGCGGAGGCAGGAGAAUUGCUUGAACCUGGGAGGCGGAGGUUGCAGUGAGCCGAGAUCACGCCGCUGCAUUCCAGCCUGGGCAACAGAAUGAGACUCCAUCUCAAAAAAAUAAAAAUAAAAAUAAACAAACCUGCCUAUGGGCCAGGCAUGGUGGCUCAUGCCUGUAAUCCCAGCACUUUAGAGUUGCUUGAGGCCAGGAGUUUGAGACCAGCCUAGGCCACAUAGCAAGACUGUGGCUCUACAAAGAUAAAAAAUUAGCUGGGCAGGGCGAUGUUCGCCUGUAGUCCCAGCUGCUAGGGAGACUGGGGUGAGAGACUUGCUUGAGCCCAGGAGGUCAAGGCUGCAGUGAG
rnacentral:lncRNA from 10 species